GUACAUGUAUCCCGUUAUUCCCCAAAACUGUAUGUAUAUGCAUAUAUAUAUAUAUAUAUAUUAGUGCUGUCAGUUAAACGCGUUAUUAACGGCGUUAACGCAAACCAAUUUUAACGGCGUUAAUUUUUUUAUCGCGCGAUUAACGCAAUUCUUUUAUUUAAAAAAAUAAAUAAAAGUUGUUGCUUUUUUUUUGUAUCGUCCUGUUUUGAUCAGUAUAUGCCAAUGUUGUUAUCAAUAAAAAAGCAUUU